AGCAGCCGCGGUAAUUCCAGCUCCAAUAGCGUAUAUUAAAGUUGUUGCAGUUAAAAAGCUCGUAGUUGAAUUUCGGGAUCAAUAUGUCGGUCGUGCCUCGGUACGUACUGGCGUCAUUGGUUUCUCCCUUCUGAAGAACCGCGAUGUCAUUAAUUUGGUGUCGUGGGGAAUCAGGACUGUUACUUUGAAAAAAUUAGAGUGUUUAAAGCAGGCUCGCGCUUGAAUACAUUAGCAUGGAAUAAUGAAAUAGGACGUUUGAUUCUAUUUUGUUGGUUUCUAGGAUCGACGUAAUGAUUAAUAGGGAUAGUUGGGGGCAUUAGUAUUCAAUUGUCAGAGGUGAAAUUCUUGGAUUUAUUGAAGACUAACUACUGCGAAAGCAUUUGCCAAGGAUGUUUUCAUUAAUCAAGAACGAAAGUUAGGGGAUCGAAGACGAUCAGAUACCGUCGUAGU
rnacentral:rRNA from 1 species